rnacentral:tRNA from 1 species
ACCUGGGUGGCUCAGUCGGUUGAGCAUCUGACUUCGGCUCAGGUCAUGAUCUCACAGUUUGUGGGUUCAAGCCCCUCAUUAGGCU